UCUCACUCCUUCUAACCCUCACUCUCUGCUUGUUGCUGCUUGCAGGUACAGUGGCAUAGUGAAUAAUUGGGUCAAUGGUUGACGUGGCUCUCAAGUUGUGGGAGUGAUUGCUGCUAAUUUAAGAAGUGGUUUUCAGCUUUGAGGUAAAGUGUCUUCAGUCUGUAUUUUUUGUUUUACUGAUAUUACUAUACCUUUCUAAAUCUAAUUAAUAUUACAGAGAGAAGAGAGUUAUGUAUAUAACGUAUGCAAAUAUAUAUGACAGAUUCUUAGUUUAGCUUUAGCAUGGAUUGAAUUUAUAUAUAUUUUGGUGAGUAACUUUUCAUCUUCUUUUUAUUUAUGGAGGAAGAAAUGAUUUUAUUUCUCAUGAUCACAUAAUAGAAAUUUGAUUCUGAAGACUUGCCUUUUAUCUGAACAUCACUCACAACUUUUCUAAAGAUCCCUGGCACAAUAUUUGCAAGCCGGACUACUUCAUUGAUAACCUGUCCAAUAUUAUGUAUGUAUAUAUACGUGCAGAUGAAUGUAGCCCAGAAAUGAAGCUAUGAAUUACCCAGAAUCACUGGUUGCUUUAAAUAAAAGUAAUAAAGUAAUAUAUAAUGUUACUCUACUUUGUCUGAGAUAAUUGUUGGAUUCUCUUAAAUUUAUUACUCUACUUUGUUUUAUUUUGUUGAACCUUUGAUCUCUUUCAUUAUCUAAAUCAAGUCUCUAGUUAUGAUUAUGUUUGAUGGUUUUUAUUCUUUGUUUCAAUGCUCUAUUUGACUAGGCGUUUUGGAUUCUUAAAUGCAAACUGCAAUUAAAUUAUUAUGAAAAGAUGCAUUUAUCCAAAUCAAGUCUCUAGUCAUGUUACAAUUGGUGACCUCUUUCUAAGUCUCUAGUACCUACCAAGCUAUGAAAAAAGGCUCAAAAUUAAUGAGUUUGGACUAGUACUGUCAAUCCAAUAUUUCUAUAGAGGAUUUUGUUAGUUGACAACUAAUAGGGCUAAGAUUUUAUCAAGCAAAUCAGACAUAUAUAGCUAGUUCCAGAUAUUACAUUGGCAGUAUGAACACAUUAGCUUAUGUUUAAUUAAGCUAUUUAUGACUUAGAAACUAGAUAACAUUAAAUGUGUCUUUCAUGUUUUGAUAAAUAUUAGUAAAUCGUUUGUAUAGUUUACUUUGUUAGACUUUUGUUAUUAAAAUUGUAUUCCCUGCAUUGCAUACAUUCAAUAGAGUUUAUUUCCAAACUUUAAUGGUAAUGCUAACUCUCUUCUUUUAUGAUGAAAUUAUGUAAAAGUGCAUGUAUGCUGAAGUUACAUAUGGAUUCUAAAAAGGAGCCAUAUAGCUAGCAAUAUUCUAGUGUUCUGUGUGAGUGUGAAUCUUUUUUACAUUACUUAUCUUUGAUGAUAAAAAGGAGAUCUCCCUUUUGAAGUCUUUGUAUCAUUUAUUGCUCUUUACAUUUUUGAAAAAUGGUUAUUACUGAAGAAAAACUUUUAUAUAUUGUUGCGGUGUUUGAUAUGAAUGUGAGAAGUCAAAUUGAGUGAAUGAGUACCUUUUCUAUAUCUAUCAUUUUUUUUUUAUAAAAAAUUGCAUCUAUCUUUAAGUUAAGACAUGAUGCAUGACAGGUUUUGACUUUCAAAUACUUCAUUUUGAAUACGGAAGACAAGUUCAUUAAUUAUUAGUAUUAUAACUUUAUUUUGAUACAUUUCCAAAUAGAAAAACGUGAAGAGUACUAAUUAAAAAAAUCAAUUUUGCUUAUAAAACCAUAUACACUUACAUAUUAAAACACAUUCUCUGUUAAACGUGGGUUUGUCAUACCUAUUUUUUGUUCUUCUUUUCAUUGAAAAUUAAAGCUUUUAUUUGGGUUGGUUUGUUGAUAUUGAUUCUGGGUUGUAUCAGAAAAAUUGUAAAAAUAUAUAUAAUAGCAUUGAUAUGUAUAAUUUGUAUGGUUUUGUUUUAGUAUUUCUUUCCAUUUGUUUAUCUAGUUAAGGGAAAAUGAAAGUUGGGAGAUGUAAUAAUCAUCAUUAUUAAUGAUAAAUUUCGGUCAAUACAUUAUAUUUGGUGGCUGUUUUACUGAUAUUCUACUGAUCUAUAUGUUUAUAACUUUAAUAAAGAUGAAUAAUAUAUAAAAUGCAUAUAAAUUAAGUUGGCUUAUAAAUUGUAUCCAUCCUCUACUGUCAUCAAAUGUUCCCCCCCGCCCCCACUGUAGAGGAGGCAUGUUGUGUUGCUAUGAUCAAACAAAGUGUAAAGUGAGGAAAGGCUUUCAGGGGGUCAAGAGAAGUCUCUACCUCAGAUAUACUGUGGAAUGGAUUGAUUGGACUGAUUCUAUUUUGCCUGUAAAGAUCUAUAUUUUUUAUGUUAAUGAUACUUGGAAUGGUUUGAACUCUGAACAUCAUUGUCAAGUAAGUUAAUAUUACCUCCUUUCUAACUAUCUGAAUUUUAUGCACACUGGAUUUCUGAAAUUAUUUUAACGUUUCUAUGAGAAGGAAUGUGAAAGUGAAUCUAAAUUAGUAGUGGAUUCUUCUACGUUGCAAUCUGUUUCCACGAAAAGUUACUAGGUAUUUAUGUUGAAACAGAAUGAAAUCAUCAAGUAAUAUAAUUUUCCUUGUGGUCUUUCUGAUGCCAUAA